rnacentral:rRNA from 1 species
AGAGUUUGAUCCUGGCUCAGGAUGAACGCUGGCGGCGUGCUUAACACAUGCAAGUCGAACGGGGUACCCUUGAAGGAGGCUUCGGCCAACGGAAGGAAUACCUAGUGGCGGACGGGUGAGUAACGCGUGAGGAACCUGCCUUGGAGUGGGGAAUAACAGCUAGAAAUAGCUGCUAAUACCGCAUAAUGCAACUAAGUCGCAUGGCUUUGGUUGCCAAAGAUUUAUCGCUCUGAGAUGGCCUCGCGUCUGAUUAGAUAGUUGGCGGGGUAACGGCCCACCAAGUCGACGAUCAGUAGCCGGACUGAGAGGUUGGCCGGCCACAUUGGGACUGAGACACGGCCCAGACUCCUACGGGAGGCAGCAGUGGGGAAUAUUGGGCAAUGGGCGCAAGCCUGACCCAGCAACGCCGCGUGAAGGAAGAAGGCCCUCGGGUUGCAAACUUCUUUUAACAGGGACGAAGAAAGUGACGGUACCUGUUGAAUAAGCCACGGCUAACCACGUG